rnacentral:lncRNA from 1 species
GUAGCUUAAUUCAAGUUAUGCCAGUAAAUCUGUUGUUAUUCAUGUUUGUAAAAUUGGGGUUUGAUAUUUUUCUUGCAGUAUUGAAGGGGUUUCACAAUUUUUCUUACAAAAUGAAGUUAAAGGCUCAACCUUGACUUACUUGAAGACGAAGAUAAUGAGGAGCUAACAAUUACUACGCUUUAUAGCUAGAGUUUUUUUUCAUUGUGUAAUAUCU